rnacentral:tRNA from 1 species
AAAAAAAUAGUUUAUAAUAAAAUAUUAAUUUUGGAGAUUAAAGAAAUAAUUUAUAUUAUUUUUUUUA